rnacentral:misc_RNA from 1 species
GCAAACUUGGUCAUUUAGAGGAAGUACAAGUCGUAACAAGGUUUCCGUAGGUGAACCUGCGGAAGGAUCAUUAACAAAUCACGUGUUUGGAUGCUGUAGUAUGUAGAUAUUAUAGUAACACCAAAACAAAUUUGUGCUCUGGACGCUUGUCUGGAUGCAUCACAUAUCAUCGAUAUGUCAUUAUUGUCAGUUGUCAUUUUAAUUUCAAAAUACUUUUAACAAUGGAUCUCUUGGCUCUUGCAUCGAUGAAGAACGCAGC